CACCUAGAAAGACAAGCUCCGAACAACAAACCCGGGCAGGUGUGGCUCGUUAGCCAUGGUAGGCAAUUCACCUAGGAGAGCAAACUCCGAACAACAAACCCGGGCAGGUGUGGCUCGUUAGCCAUGGUAGGCAAUUCACCUAGGAGAGCAAACUCCGAACAACAAACCCGGGCAGGUGUGGCUCGUUAGCCAUGGUAGGCAAUUCACCUAGGAGAGCAAACUCCGAACAACAAACCCGGGCAGGUGGAGCUCGUCAGCCGUGGCAGGCAGUUCAUCUAGGAGAGGGACAACUCCGAACAAGAAACACGGGCAGGUGGAGCUCGUCAGCCGUGGCAGGCAGUUCAUCUAGGAGAGGGACAACUCCGAACAAGAAACACGGGCAGGUGGAGCUCGUCAGCCGUGGCAGGCAGUCUGCCUAGGAGAGCAAACUCCGAACAAUAAACCCGGGCAGGUGGAGCUCGUUAGAUGUCGUAGACAUCCACGUGAUGGGAACACCAAAAUGAAAAUGAAAAGGAAAAGGAACACCAGAAUAAAGAAAAUGUAGAAAUGAGACAUCAAGAAAACAAAAUAAGAAACAGAUCAUCCACCUUUCGGCCCUAACUAACAUCACCAAAAUUAUGGAUGGGUCUCUUCUGGGGAGAAAGAGGCUCAUCCAGACCAAAGAACAUCAAUCAGGGAUGACAUAGAAAAGAUAAAAGAACAACAUGAAGAAAAGAAGAAAAAAACAUCAUCCACCUUUCGGCCCCAAGUAACAUCACAAAAUUAUGGGUGGGUCUUUUCUGGGGAGAAAAAGGCUCAUUCAGACCAAAGAACAUCAGAACGGAUGAUACAGAAAAGAUAAAAGACCAACAUCAGGAAAAGAAGAAAAAUACAUCAUCCACCUUUCGGCCCCAAGUAACAUCACAAAAUUAUGGGUGGGUCUCUUCUGGGAGGAAAGCGGCUCACCCAGACCAACGAACAUCAACAAAAGGAUGAUAAAGAAAACAAGAAGAGCAAGAAAAUGAACAGAAUAACAUCGAAAAUGAAAAAGAAAACAUCAAGGAAAGAAAAAUAUAACAAACAUCAUCCACCUUUCGGCCCUCAGCAACAUCACCAAAAUUAUGGGUGGGUCUCUUCUGGGAGGAAAGUGGCUCACCCAGACCAACGAACAUCAACAAAAGGAUGAUAGGAAAAUAAAGAAAAGGAAAAAGAAAAAGAACAGAAAGAAAAGAAAGAGAAAAACACCAAUAGAAAAUAAAAUAAAAGCAAGAAAAGGAAAAAUAUAAACAAAAGAAAUUAAAAGAAAAAAACAACAACACUAAAAGAAAAGAAAGAAAAGAAAAACAAGAAAGAAAAGAAAAAAAUAAAA